UGAAUACGAGACGCUAAGGCGUCGAAGUAGUGUAUGUCAUACUUCCAAGAAAAGCUUGCACUGUCAUAGAUAAAAAACGCCUGUACCAUAACCGACACAGGUGGGUAGGUAGAGUAUACUAAGGGGCGCGAGAUAACUCUCUCUAAGGAACUCGGCAAAAUAACUCCGUAACUUCGGGAGAAGGAGUGCCUUAUUCGUAAGGUUGCAAUAACAAGAUCCAAGCAACUGUUUAUCAAAAACACAGGUCUCCGCUAAGUCGUAAGACGAUGUAUGGGGGCUGACGCCUGCCCAGUGCCAGAAGGUUAAAGAAGUUGGUUAGCAAUUGCGAAGCUGAUAACUGAAGCCCUGGUGAACGGCGGCCGUAACGAUAACGGUCCUAAGGUAGCGAAAUUCCUUGUCGGGUAAGUUCCGACCCGCACGAAAGGCGUAAUGAUUUGGAUACUGUCUCGGAGAGGGGCUCGGUGAAAUAGACUUGUCUGUGAAGAUGCGGACUACCUGCACCAGGACAGAAAGACCCUAUGAAGCUUUACUGUAACUUGAAAUUGAAAUUGGACUUUAUUCGCGCAGCAUAGGUGGGAGGCGUUGAUUAUAAUCUUGUGGGAUUAUUGGAGCCAUCAGUGAGAUACCACUCUUGUAAUGUUAGAUUUCUAACUUUGAAUCAUUAUCUGGUCAAAGAACAGUUUCAGGCGGGCAGUUUGACUGGGGCGGUCGCCUCCUAAACGGUAACGGAGGCGUACAAAGGUUUCCUCUGAACGGUUAGAAAUCGUAUCUAGAGUGUAAAGGCAUAAGGAAGCUUGACUGUGAGACCUACAAGUCGAGCAGGGACGAAAGUCGGUCUUAGUGAUCUGACGGUACUGAGUGGAAAGGCCGUCACUCAACGGAUAAAAGUUACUCUAAGGAUAACAGGCUGAUCUCCCCCAAGAGUUCACAUCGACGGGGAGGUUUGGCACCUCGAUGUCGGCUCAUCGCAUCCUGGGGCGGUAGUACGUCCCAAGGGUUGGGCUGUUCGCCCAUGGAAGCGGUACGCGAGCUGGGUUCAGAACGUCGUGAGACAGUUCGGUCCAUAUCCGGUGUAGGCGUUAGAAUAUUGAGAGGAGCCUUCUUUAGUACGAGAGGACCGAGAAGGACAUACCUCUGGUGUACCAGUUAUCGUGCCAACGGUAAACGCUGGGUAGCUAUGUAUGGAGUGGAUAACCGCUGAAAGCAUCUAAGUGGGAAGCCCACCUCAAGAUAAGUAUUCUCAUC
rnacentral:rRNA from 1 species